GGAGGGGGCAAGCGUUGUUCGGAAUUACUGGGCGUAAAGGGAGUGUAGGCGGUUAUGUAAGAUAGUGGUGAAAUCCCAGAGCUUAACUUUGGAAUUGCCAUUAUGACUAUGUGGCUAGAAUUACAGAGAGGACAGUGGAAUACCCAGUGUAGAGGUGAAAUUCGUAGAUAUUGGGUAGAACACCAGUGGCGAAGGCGACUAUCUGGCUGUAUAUUGACGCUGAGGCUCGAAAGCAUGGGGAGCAAACAGGAUUAGAUACCCUGGUAGUCCACGCUGUAAACGAUGAAUACUAGGUGUGGGAGGACUGACCCCUUCCGUGCCGCAGUUAACACAAUAAGUAUUCCACCUGGGGAGU
rnacentral:rRNA from 1 species